rnacentral:rRNA from 1 species
AUGCCAGAAGGGAUAAAUGAUACGGCGAUCGUCCUCAUCCCGAAAGUUCCUUACCCCAAGGAGCUCAAAGACUUUAGGCCGAUCAGCCUCUGCAAUGUUAUUUACAAGUUGGUAUCUAAAUGUUUGGUUAACCGGCUCCGUCCUUGUCUGUCGGAGUUGAUUUCUGAGAAUCAAAGUGCUUUUAUUGCGGGCCGGCUCAUCUCGGGUAAUUCUAUUAUUGCUUUUGAGUGCAUCCAUCACAUACAAUCUGUGAAGAACACCAGUCGGGCGGCAUGUGCGUACAAACUCGAUCUCUCAAAGGCGUAUGAUCGGGUCGAUUGGGACUUUCUGGAGAAGGCGCUCUGUAGAUGGGGCUUCUCGGAGCAGUGGAUUGCUUGGAUAGUGUCUUGCGUUAAAUCUGUCCGGUAUUCGGUUAAACUGAAUGGGAAACUACUGGAGGUUUUCUCACCUUGGCGUGGCCUUCGUCAAGGUGACCCAUUGUCUCUGUUCUUGUUUCUCUUUGUUGCUGAUGCGUUAUCUGCUCUUCUAUCUAAAUCAGUGAGCGAAGGUAGCUUGAACGGGGUGAGCAUCUGUCGGGGUGCACCGGUGAUUUCUCAUCUCCUCUUUGCGGAUGAUACAUUGCUAUUUUUUGAAGCUUCAGGCCAGCAAGCGGAUGUUGUUAAGGGUUUGUUGAACACUUAUUCCUCGCGUCAACUUAUAAACCCCGAGAAGUGUUCCAUCCUUUUUUCUGACAACUGCGGUGGGCAAGUCGUGGAUGAGAUCAAGAAUAUAUUGGAGGUGACGCAGCAGGUUUUCGAACCAAAGUAUCUUGGACUCCUAGUCCCGGAAGAGAGAGUGCACAAGGGGCAAUUUGAGACAUUGCAAGAUAGAUUGAGGAAAAUUCUUAUUGAUUGGAGUGAACAAUAUAUCUCAGUUGGAAAUAAAGAGAUUCUGAUCAAGGCAGUGGCUCAGGCAAUUCCCACCUAUGUAAUGAGUGCGUUCAAAUUGCCGGCGUCAGUGUGUGAUGAUCUUACCAAGAUGAUGCGGCAAUAUUGGUGGGGCGUGGAAAAUGGUAAAAGAAAGAUGGCAUGGUUAAGCUGGGAAAGGAUGAUGCUACCCAAAGCAAUGGGGGGCAUGGGAUUCCGAGACAUGAGGGCGUUUAACCAAGCCCUGCUGGCCAAGCAGGCUUGGCGCCUCUUGGAUAGCCCAGAUAGCCUUUGUGCGAGAUUACUUAAGGCCAAAUAUUACCCUAGGGGAAGUUUACUUGACACUGUUUUCUCGACGAACAGUUCAGCGGUCUGA